rnacentral:rRNA from 1 species
CAGAUGCUAAUACCGCAUAACAACGUUGUUCGCAUGAACAACGUUUCAAAGAUGGCCUCUGGCUAUCACUUCUGGAUGGACCUGCGGUGCAUUAGCUUGUUGGUGGGGUAAUGGCCUACCAAGGCGAUGAUGCAUAGCCGAGUUGAGAGACUGAUCGGCCACAAUGGGACUGAGACACGGCCCAUACUCCUACGGGAGGCAGCAGUAGGGAAUCUUCCACAAUGGGCGCAAGCCUGAUGGAGCAACACCGCGUGAGUGAAGAAGGGUUUCGGCUCGUAAAGCUCUGUUGUUAAAGAAGAACAUGCGUGAGAGUAACUGUUCACGCAUUGACGGUAUUUAACCAGAAAGUCACGGCUAACUACGUGCCAGCAGCCGCGGUAAUACGUAGGUGGCAAGCGUUAUCCGGAUUUAUUGGGCGUAAAGAGAGUGCAGGCGGUUUACUAAGUCUGAUGUGAAAGCCUUCGGCUUAACCGGAGAAGGGCAUCGGAAACUGGCUAACUUGAGUGCAGAAGAGGGUAGUGGAACUCCAUGUGUAGCGGUGGAAUGCGUAGAUAUAUGGAAGAACACCAGUGGCGAAGGCGGCUACCUGGUCUGUAACUGACGCUGAGACUCGAAAGCAUGGGUAGCGAACAGGAUUAGAUACCCUGGUAGUCCAUGCCGUAAACGAUGAGUGCUAGGUGUUGGAGGGUUUCCGCCCUUCAGUGCCGGAGCUAACGCAUUAAGCACUCCGCCUGGGGAGUACGACCGCAAGGUUGAAACUCAAAGGAAUUGACGGGGGCCCGCACAAGCGGUGGAGCAUGUGGUUUAAUUCGAAGCUACGCGAAGAACCUUACCAGGUCUUGACAUCUUGCGCCAACCCUAGAGAUAGGGCGUUUCCUUCGGGAACGCAAUGACAGGUGGUGCAUGGUCGUCGUCAGCUCGUGUCGUGAGAUGUUGGGUUAAGUCCCGCAACGAGCGCAACCCUUGUUACUAGUUGCCAGCAUUCAGUUGGGCACUCUAGUGAGACUGCCGGUGACAAACCGGAGGAAGGUGGGGACGACGUCAGAUCAUCAUGCCCCUUAUGACCUGGGCUACACACGUGCUACAAUGGACGGUACAACGAGUCGCGAACUCGCGAGGGCGAGCAAAUCUCUGAAAACCGUUCUCAGUUCGGACUGCAGGCUGCAACUCGCCUGCACGAAGUCGGAAUCGCUAGUAAUCGCGGAUCAGCAUGCCGCGGUGAAUACGUUCCCGGGCCUUGUACUCACCGCCCGUCA